AGCACAUAUACUAUGGUUGCUAUGGAAACUCCAUAGUUGGCACUUCCAGGUGGGUGUUUCACAAAGAGCUGGAACAGAGUUAAGGUGAGUAAAUAUCUUCUACUUAACUGCCCCUGUCCCCUUAACCAUGCAGCUGAAAACAUUGCAGUUUUAGGGAAACUGUUUUUUCAGCUGCAGAGUUAAAGGAUCACUAUCGGCACCUAGACCACUUUAGCUUAAUGAAGUGGUCUGGGUCCAGGUCCAGCUAGGUUUAAACCUUUUUGCUGUAAACAUAGCAGUUUUUUACCUAUGGGUUAAUCCAGCCUCUAGUGGCUGUCUCAUUGACAGUCGCUUCUGCGCUUCUCACUGAUUUUUCACAAUUUCUUAGGGGGAAGGCCUAAUGUGUGUUGCGCAUUUGGUUUCAGUUUGCACUGUUGGAGACUGAGCCAGCAGUUACCUUGUCGCUGAAACAUUGAAAGUGGGGGGUAGUUUCUUUACCCUUUGAUAGCAUAUUAGGUGGUCAGCAGAGGGAUACUAUAGUCAUAUUCUUAACCCUUUUAAUUCUAUAUUCAGCAAGCAGCAGUAUUCUGUCUGGAGUGUUCUUAUAAUUAGACCAGAGCAUGGGACUAAUGG